CUCCUAGGCAGAACCCUGGCCUCCACGUCGCUCUAUAAACGCUGCUGCCACCGCCUGUAAUUUUCGUGCCCCGCCAAGGGCAUCUUAGUAAUUUCACGUACAUAUGUAUAAAAGCCAGCCACCUGUGAAGAAGAUCUAGCCGCCCGCCACUCUCCUCUUUCCGCCGCCUCCCGCGUCUCCCCCACUCCCUCAAGCGUCGCACCCCUCCUCCCAUCCCGCAUCUCGUCCACCCUGGGAUCCGAGCGUAGAGUCGACCUUCCCCGGCGGCGGCGCUCCAUUCAAUCUGCAAGAGAGAGAGAGAGACCGAGAGAGAGAGCAUGCGAGGGAGAAGAAGAAAAGAGAGGAGGGAGAAAGAGAGAGGAAAGAGGAGCGGGAGGCGUGGCGUCGGAUGGGAGAGGGUCACCGCCGGCGUCCGCCUGCACCGGCGAGGUCGGGUCCUCGAGCCAUGGAGGCACUCUUCGCUGGGCCCUCGCCGUUGGCCUCCCGUGCGUCGCAGCGCCCCUCCCGCCGACUGGGCUCUCUCCUCCCGCCUCGGCAGAUUGGAUCGAGGGUGCUACGCCGCCGUCGCCGACUGGAUUUGCUCCUCCAUCGCUGCCGCGAGUCAACUUCACCAUUCUCGCCAGGAAUCCGUCCCCCCUGCUGCAGCCUGCUCGUCUUCCGGUUGCUGUAGUCGGCAUCGCGGCCCUACAGAGGGCGUUGAAUAGGUGAGCUCCCAUCCUCUCCCUUUUCUCUUCCCCUGGUCCUCUCCUCUUCCUCAAUGUUGCUCCUCCAAUCUCUCACAUCCUGGCAGGAUGGAGAUGUGACUUGAGAUCCUCCAUCUAACAAGCUCCCCGGGUAGUGGUGGAUCUUUAUAUUAGCACAUGACUGAGCAGUUCGACAACGUUUAUAAUUUAUCGUUGUCAAGUCAGCCUUUGCGUGAUUCAAAAAGAACACAAAGACUGUUGCACGGUACUAUAUAAUUUAUCAGUUCAGUUUAACUAUUUUUUAGAAAAGAACAUCCUUACCAAGCCUGCACAUUUUAAGGUCGUGAGGCUUCAGUUUACUCUGUUUGCCUCACUACAGGAGAACAUUCAGAGGGCUCAAGAAAGAGACAAGAACUUGUGCUUCAAGCAGCGAAGAUAGCCAGCCUAAAUGAAUCGAAACAAGAACAAGCAUCGGGAAAUUACAGAUGAGGAAGUGCAGCUGGCUGAUAUAGGUCUUGCAAUGUGCAUGUCAGGGACAGAAGUUGCUAAAGAAAGCUCCGACAUUAUAAUCUUAGAUGAUGACUUCACAUCUAUUGUGAAGGGUCAUUGGAAUGGACCAAGUUAUGAAUGUUCCUGAAAUGCGAUACUAGAAUAUUUGAAGCGGAUGUUAUCAAGAUUGUGCCAAAGGCAGAGGGUGCCAAAGGCGAUGCUCAUUCCCGUUCUUAGUGAGAUGCGUUUACUCGAUGCAAAGUAUGAGCAUUGCAGACUCUAGCGAGCUGCUGAAGGUCGACGAGGAGGGUGCCGCCACCACCGUCAUCAGGCUGGUCCACAUCCAUGCGCUUCUCGGCGUCACCAGGUCACCGGCACAACUCCUCACGCCCAGGUCGUUCAACAUUUUCUUCCGCUUUUGGUGCGUCACAUUUAGGGUCUUUCUUUCCCAUUUUACCGUGUUUGCAUGGUAAGAUGUUUGGUUGGAUUUGAAGGUUCGUAGACUUGGCUCCAGAGCUUCAAGCUCUUGUAGAAAUUAGAACUGAGGGCCUUUUAAAAUGAGUCCUGCAUAAUAGUGUUGUUCAGUGGGUUGCAGAAUUUUUGUUUGUACUGAUUUACGUACUGAUUUCAUCAUCAUAUGACUACAAUGAAGAAGCUGUGUGUAUAAAUAUUACUAACUGAUGAUACUUUGCAUCAGUGAUUUCAAUUCUGUUGGCCCUCCUUCA